UGUAAUUUUUCCUUGACCCUGAAACUAACUUAAACUACUGUCUUUUUUGAUUGUACCGAUAAGAGCAAUACAGCAUUUGAAUCUGUAAAGGGUGUACUUUUAUUUGUUAACAUAACAUAACAACAAAAUGCUGUGCUUUUGUAAAAUAAAGAAUAUAGACACUGUCACCUCUCUUCACAAACACAUAAAUAAAACAGCCUGAAUCUCAGUGAAUUUCUCACAGACAUAAUAAAUAUAUGUAUAGAAAGCUUUACAUUUUAGAAGCGUUUUUUAGUUUCUCUAGUAUCACCUCAUUAUCACUGAUGAUCUCACCUCGCAUCAAAUGCACUGUUCAUAUGGAAAUGAUCUGAGGUGAGCCAGGUAGUCAUGUACACGCUCCUAAAAAAUAGCAUGAAACAUUAGGUUUCAUCAUAGAAUUUACUUUUUCUGCGCGUUUGGAUGAUGGCACGCUUAUACGGGUGAAGAAUACUUCAGAUGGUUCUGGACAGUGAAGAGAAGUUUACAUUCUCCUUAGAGGAAGCACAUGUCUCAGAUGACGGACGUUUGCAUUAUAAAGAGCUUCUGGACCAAGCAGAGGAUAUAAUUCCUGACGAGUAAGCCUUUUAUUCUUACCUUCAUGAUUUUAAAUGUUAUAUAAAACUCAUAUUUAAAGUUGGAUAUUUCCAAACAGGCUGUUGUCAGACUUAAAUUAGCUAAUCUCCAUACAGACCACUUUUAGUUUAGGAUGUUGUACAAAGCACAUAUAUAAACAUAAAUAUAAUUAUUAUUAUAAUUAUACUAUUAUGUCUCUUACAAAACUGAAUCAAGAAUUAAAAAUUUUAUUUUUUACAUUUUUGAAUAUUUAGACAGUAUUUUCUCAAAUGGUAAAAUUGUUCACCAAGCUUCUGUUCAAAAAUAUCUGCUCUAGUGUGAUCGUCUGAGGUGUAAAUGUUUAAAGUAAUAUGUAAAUUUUAUGUAUAAGUGACCCAUCAACAGACAUGCAUGCGUGUUCAUUCUUAUCAGUGAUGCAAUUUAUUAUCAGCUAUGCAUGUUCUGAUACCUGUUACCAACUUUAAAUUUUUUAAUUAGGACUGUGGCUGCAUCACUGCCAUCUUGCACAAGAAAGACACAUGAGUGUAGUUCUUUUGUGUUUGCUGGAAAAUCAUACUGAGACUAUGAAUACACCACUCUCGCCUUUACUACAUCUCAACCAGGAAGAAGACUCAGGUCUCGGUUCAGUUUUCAACUCUUACAGAAUGUGAGAAUAACAGUGCAAAAGAACCUGUGGCAAAGAAAGCAGCCCACUCUGUCAUAAAAAAAAAAAAAAAAACAGAUGUUGACAUGGUUUUUCAUAAUGUUUUUUUUAAAACUGCUGUGCCAACUGUGUGUCGAAAUACCAAUGCUCAGGCAGCCAGCCGUGCAAAGGGCCAUAAUUAUAUAUUGACAGAUGUUAUCAUCAGUGAGCUGUACUGCUACAUUGGGCCACUCUUCUACAUGGUCAUGGUGAAGAUGAGGUCCAUCAGAGACCACUGGCAGCAGGGCAGUCUUUUCUCUGUUCCCUUUCCUGCCACAAUCAUGUCGAAGCACACAUACCGCACUAUUUCAUUGAACCUGCACGAGUCACACAGAUGCAGACAAGGACAAUGACAGAAAAAGGGGCACCACUGAACACGACCAUCUUUUCUGGGUCAGACCGCUCAUGGAUACUAUGCAGUGUUGGGCAAUACCGCGUUACUAGUAACGCAGUUACUUUUGACAAUAACUAAUACUGUAACGCAUUACUUUUUAAAUAAUUAAAUGAAUUAAUUUUGUGUAGCCUAAAGUCUAACCAGUUUACAGCAGAGACACAUUGUAGGAUUGGUGGAUGAGAAUCACUGUAAACACGAAGAAGACGCACUGUGGGUGUGUUUCCGUUUAUUCAAGUAUGUGCGGCAGUAAUGGCGAGUCAAGGCGAGAGCAAGACGAGUUUCUCAAAGUGGAAAUAUGCUUAUUAUUUCACUUCAGUUGAGCAUAAAGACCUUUUAGUCAAAUGUAAGCUGUGUCUUUUUGGUUCGAAGGCCGUAUCUACUGCAAUAAACAGCAACUCCAAUCUGUCGAAGCACCUCCAGAAACUCCAUGCCUCGAUGAAGCUAAAAGCUAACCCGGUGUUAUGUUGUACAUUGUUGAUAGUUUUCA